rnacentral:tRNA from 1 species
GCGGACGUAGUCUAGUGGUAAAACAUCGGCUUCCCAAGCCGGAGAUGUGGGUUCGAUUCCCAUCGUCCGCU